AUUGAACGCUGGCGGCAGGCCUAACACAUGCAAGUCGAACGGUAACAGGAAGCAGCUUGCUGCUUUGCUGACGAGUGGCGGACGGGUGAGUAAUGUCUGGGAAACUGCCUGAUGGAGGGGGAUAACUACUGGAAACGGUAGCUAAUACCGCAUAACGUCGCAAGACCAAAGAGGGGGACCUUCGGGCCUCUUGCCAUCGGAUGUGCCCAGAUGGGAUUAGCUAGUAGGUGGGGUAAAGGCUCACCUAGGCGUCGAUCCCUAGCUGGUCUGAGAGGAUGACCAGCCACACUGGAACUGAGACACGGUCCAGACUCCUACGGGAGGCAGCAGUGGGGAAUAUUGCACAAUGGGCGCAAGCCUGAUGCAGCCAUGCCGCGUGUAUGAAGAAGGCCUUCGGGUUGUAAAGUACUUUCAGCGGGGAGGAAGGGAGUAAAGUUAAUACCUUUGCUCAUUGACGUUACCCGCAGAAGAAGCACCGGCUAACUCCGUG
rnacentral:rRNA from 1 species